UACGGAAGGCAGCAGUGGGGAAUAUUGGACAAUGGGCGCAAGCCUGAUCCAGCCAUGCCGCGUGAGUGAUGACGGCCUUAGGGUUGUAAAGCUCUUUUACCUGGGAAGAUAAUGACGGUACCGGGAGAAUAAGCCCCGGCUAACUUCGUGCCAGCAGCCGCGGUAAUACGAAGGGGGCUAGCGUUGUUCGGAUUUACUGGGCGUAAAGCGCACGUAGGCGGAAAUUUAAGUCAGGGGUGAAAUCCCGAGGCUCAACCUCGGAACUGCCUUUGAUACUGGGUUUUCUUGAGUCCGGAAGAGGUGAGUGGAACUGCGAGUGUAGAGGUGAAAUUCGUAGAUAUUCGCAAGAACACCAGUGGCGAAGGCGGCUCACUGGUCCGGAACUGACGCUGAGGUGCGAAAGCGUGGGGAGCAAACAGGGAUUAGAUACC
rnacentral:rRNA from 1 species